GGUCAGGACGAACGCUGGCGGCGUGCCUAAUACAUGCAAGUCGAACGGUCUUUCUAUGGAAGCUUGCUUCCACUGAGAAGAUAGUGGCGAACGGGUGAGUAACACGUGGGUAACCUGCCCAUAAGAGGGGGAUAACAUCCGGAAACGGGUGCUAAUACCGCAUAGUUUUCUUGAUCGCAUGAUCGGGAGAGGAAAGACGGCCUUUGUGCUGUCGCUUAUGGAUGGACCCGCGGCGUAUUAGUUAGUUGGUGAGGUAACGGCUCACCAAGACGAUGAUACGUAGCCGACCUGAGAGGGUGAUCGGCCACAUUGGGACUGAGACACGGCCCAAACUCCUACGGGAGGCAGCAGUAGGGAAUCUUCCGCAAUGGACGAAAGUCUGACGGAGCAACGCCGCGUGAGUGAAAGAAGGUUUUCGGAUCGUAAAACUCUGUUGUCAGAGAAGAACAAGUUGGAGAGUAACUGCUCCAGCCUUGACGGUAUCUGACCAGAAAGCCACGGCUAACUACGUGCCAGCCGCCGC
rnacentral:rRNA from 1 species